GCGGGAAUAGCUCAGUUGGUAGAGCGAUACCUUGCCAAGGUAUAGGUCGNNGGUAGAGCGCAACCUUGCCAAGGUUGAGGUCGCGAGUUCGAGUCUCGUUUCCCGCUCCA
rnacentral:tRNA from 1 species